rnacentral:rRNA from 1 species
GGCGAACGGGUGAGUAACACGUGGGUGAUCUGCCCUGCACUUUGGGAUAAGCCUGGGAAACUGGGUCUAAUACCGGAUAGGACUACGAAUCGCGUGGUUUGUGGUGGAAAGCUUUUGCGGUGUGGGAUGGGCCCGCGGCCUAUCAGCUUGUUGGUGGGGUGAUGGCCUACCAAGGCGACGACGGGUAGCCGGCCUGAGAGGGUGUCCGGCCACACUGGGACUGAGAUACGGCCCAGACUCCUACGGGAGGCAGCAGUGGGGAAUAUUGCACAAUGGGCGCAAGCCUGAUGCAGCGACGCCGCGUGAGGGAUGACGGCCUUCGGGUUGUAAACCUCUUUCACUAGGGACGAAGCGCAAGUGACGGUACCUAGAGAAGAAGCACCGGCCAACUACGUGCC